UACGGAGGGUGCGAGCGUUGUCCGGAAUCACUGGGCGUAAAGGGCGCGUAGGCGGCCUGAUAAGUAGGGGGUGAAAUCCUGCGGCUUAACCGCAGGGCUGCCUUCUAAACUGUCAGGCUCGAGCACAGUAGAGGCAGGUGGAAUUCCCGGUGUAGCGGUGGAAUGCGUAGAGAUCGGGAAGAACAUCAGUGGCGAAGGCGGCCUGCUGGACCAACACUGACACUGAGGAGCGAAAGCCAGGGGAGCAAACGGG
rnacentral:rRNA from 1 species